rnacentral:siRNA from 1 species
AAGGACAAUUGGUGACAGACUUU